CGCGUGAGCAACCUGCCUUUCAGUGGGGGACAACAGUUGGAAACGACUGCUAAUACCGCAUAAUGCAUUUUGACCGCAUGAUCGAGAUGCCAAAGAUUUAUUGCUGAAAGAUGGGCUCGCGUCUGAUUAGAUAGUUGGUGAGGUAACGGCCCACCAAGUCGACGAUCAGUAGCCGGACUGAGAGGUUGAACGGCCACAUUGGGACUGAGAUACGGCCCAGACUCCUACGGGAGGCAGCAGUGGGGAAUAUUGGGCAAUGGGGGAAACCCUGACCCAGCAACGCCGCGUGAAGGAAGAAGGCUUUCGGGUUGUAAACUUCUUUUACCAGGGACGAAGAAAGUGACGGUACCUGGAGAAAAAGCCACGGCUAACUACGUGCCAGCAGCCGCGGUAAUACGUAGGUGGCAAGCGUUGUCCGGAUUUACUGGGUGUAAAGGGCGUGUAGGCGGGGAUGCAAGUCAGAUGUGAAAUCCCCGGGCUUAACCCGGGAACUGCAUUUGAAACUGUAUCCCUUGAGUAUCGGAGAGGCAGGCGGAAUUCCUAGUG
rnacentral:rRNA from 1 species